rnacentral:snRNA from 1 species
ACGAGAUUCCCACUGUCCCUGU